rnacentral:rRNA from 1 species
UUCCGGGGUUGAUCCCGCCGGACCCUACUGCUAUCGGGGUGGGACUAAGACAUGCGUGUCGAACGACCCCAAGCCAACAUGAGGUCGUGGCAUACGGCUCAGUAACACGUGGCUAACCUACCCUCGAGACAGGGACAACCCCGGGAAACUGGGGCUAAUCCCAGAUAGAUGAAGACCCCUGGAACGGGUCCUCGUCCAAAAGGCACCACGGUUAUGCUCUGCGGUGUCGCUCAAGGAUGGGGCCGCGUCCGAUCAGGCUGUUGGUGAGGUAAUGGCUCACCAAACCUAUAACCGGUACGGGCCGUGGGAGCGGGAGCCCGGAGAUGGGAACUGAGACAAGGUCCCAGGCCCUACGGGGCGCAGCAGUUACGAAAACUUGUCAAUGCACGAAAGUGUGAACGGGCUACCCCGAGUGCCGUCCGCUGAGGAUGGCUUUUCUCUGCUUUAAGAAGGCAGAGGAAUAAGGCGAGGGCAAGUCUGGUGUCAGCCGCCGCGGUAAUACCAGCUCGCCGAGUGGUAGGGAUGAUUAUUGGGCCUAAAGCGUCCGUAGCUGGCCUUUCAAGUCUCUUGUUAAAUCCAACGAUUCAAUCGUUGGACUGCAGGAGAUACUGCAAGGCUAGGAGGCGUGAGAAGCCGACGGUAUUUUCGGGGUAGGGGUAAAAUCCUAUAAUCCCGAGAAGACCACCAGUGGCGAAGGCGGUCGGCUAGCGCGCGCUCGACAGUGAGGGACGAAAGCUGGGGGAGCGAACCGGAUUAGAUACCCGGGUAGUCCCAGCUGUAAACGAUGCUGGCUAGGUGUUGAAGCGGCCACGAGCCGCUUCAGUGCCGCAGGAAAGCCAUUAAGCCAGCCGCCUGGGGAGUACGGCCGCAAGGCUGAAACUUAAAGGAAUUGGCGGGGGAGCACCACAAGGGGUGAAGCUUGCGGUUUAAUUGGAUUCAACGCCGGG